rnacentral:rRNA from 1 species
AUUGAACGCUGGCGGCAGGCCUAACACAUGCAAGUCGAGCGAGCGGCGGACGGGUGAGUAAUGUAUGGGGACUGCCCGAUAGAGGGGGAUAACUACUGGAAACGGUGGCUAAUACCGCAUACUGUCGGAUCACCCAUAGGGGAUUAGCUAGUAGGUAAGGUAAUGGCUUACCUAGGCGACGAUCCCUAGCUGGUCUGAGAGGAUGAUCAGCCAUACUGGGACUGAGACACGGCCCAGACUCGUACGGUGGCAUCAGUGGGGAAUAGUGCACAGUGGGCGCAAUCCUGAUGCAGCCAUGCCGCGUGUAUGAAGAAGGCCCUAGGGUUGUAAAGUUCUUUCAGUCGGGAGGCGUUACCGACAGAAGAAGCACCGGCUAACGCCGUGCCAGCAGCCGCGGUAAUAC